UGCCUGGCUCAUUCACGUGUCCCACGGAAGGUCCAUCACGUCGUGAUAAAUGGCUGGGCUCUGUCGGAAACCCCAGUGAGAUGUCAUAGAAGGGUCAGCAGGGGCCUUGGAGACCUUUGCCACACUGGACAAAAGGCGGGAACCCACAGGCCUGAAGUAAAGUUCCUCGCUGUGGCUGUCGCAGAAGGGCUGUUCCAUGUUGGGUCGGCCAUCAGGAGUGGAGUCUCUGAUGGCUGCCCAUGGCUGGGUAGGGGCCCUGCCCAGGCUGGGGACAGCUGGAGCUCCUUCCACCAGGUGAGGACAUCAGCGCAGCCCGAGGUACUGAGCAAGGACAUCGCCCCAGGUGUGAAGCACAGUGACAUCUGUUCCGGGGUGUGAGGAGAUCAGGCCAGGAAGCACUUGCUGUUUCCUCCCCCACACGUGGGCUGGGACUCACCCCAGCCAGGUGAAGGUGAGCACACACCCAGGGAAUGAAGAGGCCCACCUGCUCCUCUGAAAUCAGCCCACGGGUCAUGGCUCAAGCAGUCACUCCACAAACAUUCAGCAGCUGCACUGACGGAGGCGUGGACCUGCCUGAGGGGCUCAUGGGAGCGACAUGUGACAUGUGCCACACAAUGAAGGCAACGACUCAGAGGUGACUACUGCUCACGUGCCAGGGACUGUUCAAACACCUCACCCUAUGACUGAUUCAGUUCUCAUCACGGUCCGAGGGAGCAGGGGAGCUCUUCCCCUGGACAUGAGCUGAGUCACUGGUCAGCUAAAAUCCCCAAG
rnacentral:lncRNA from 1 species